rnacentral:rRNA from 1 species
UUCCUACGGGGGGCUGCAGUUAGGAAUAUUGGACAAUGGGCGCAAGCCUGAUCCAGCCAUGCCGCGUGAGUGAUGAAGGCCUUCGGGUUGUAAAACUCUUUAGCCGACGAAUAUAAUGACUGUAGUCGGAGAAUAAGCCCCGGCUAACUUCGUGCCAGCAGCCGCGGUAAUACGAAGGGGGCGAGCGUUAUUCGGAAUCACUGGGCGUAAAGCGUGCGUAGGCUGUUUUGUAAGUCAGAAGUGAAAGCCCAGGGCUUAACCUUGGAAUUGCUUUUGAAACUACAAGACUCGAAUUCGGGAGAGGAUAGCGGAAUUGUCAGUGUAGCAGUGAAAUGCGUAGAUAUUGACAGGAACACCAGUGGCGCAAGCGGCUAUCUGGACCGAUAUUGACGCUGAGGCACGAAAGCGUGGGGAGCAAACAGGAUUAGAUACCCCGGUAGUCGUC